UACGGGGGGAGCAAGCGUUGUUCGGAUUUACUGGGCGUAAAGGGCGCGUAGGCGGCAAUUCAAGUCACUUGUGAAAUCUCCGGGCUUAACUCGGAACGGUCAAGUGAUACUGCUUUGCUAGAGUGCGGAAGGGGCAAUCGGAAUUCUCGGUGUAGCGGUGAAAUGCGUAGAUAUCGAGAGGAACACCUGAGGUGAAGACGGGUUGCUGGGCCGACACUGACGCUGACAGCGCGAAAGCCAGGGGAGCAAACGGG
rnacentral:rRNA from 1 species